rnacentral:lncRNA from 12 species
AUUUGGACUGCCUCCCCUCUGUUGGCCUUCAUCCAUGAGAGAGAAGAACACAGUGCUCUCCUGGCAGGGCUGGAGCUGGGAUAAGAGUCCGAGAUUUGAAUUAUUUUUUGGCUCUGUUCUCUGCACCUCUUUCUAUCUUACUAAGCAUGUAGCCGGCCUGAGCUGUUCAUUCCACAGACGUUUCUGGGCACCCACUUUGCGCACGACACCGUGCUGGGCCCCACGGCGCAGAUCAAGUUUGAAGACUCGUUCCACUGAGACUUGGGGACACCUGAGACAGAAGAGUCCCUAUCAUCUUAACUUCUGUUCCUUUCUGCAUCAAACAAAAGUCCAUCUCAGUUUGUAAGUGCAGUCUCCCCUUUCUCUUCCAGCUACAAGGACACCUUUAAAUUCCACCUGGAAAUGUUUAAGAAAACUAAGAACACUAAAAGCCUUCCACAGUGAUUAGAAUAAAUCCUCGGAUUAACCUAUCA